AGAUUAAGUUAUUAAGGGCGCACGGUGGAUGCCUUGGCACUAGAAGCCGAAGAAGGACGUUACUAACGACGAUAUGCUUUGGGUAGCUGUAAGUAAGCGUUGAUCCAGAGAUUUCCGAAUGGGGGAACCCAACAUGAGUUAUGUCAUGUUAUCGACAUGUGAAUUCAUAGCAUGUCAGAAGGCAGACCCGGAGAACUGAAACAUCUUAGUACCCGGAGGAAGAGAAAGAAAAAUCGAUUCCCUGAGUAGCGGCGAGCGAAACGGGAAGAGCCCAAACCAACAAGCUUGCUUGUUGGGGUUGUAGGACACUCUAUACGGAGUUACAAAAGAACAUGUUAGACGAAUCAUCUGGAAAGAUGAAUCAAAGAAGGUAAUAAUCCUGUAGUCGAAAACAUAUUCUCUCUUGAGUGGAUCCUGAGUACGACGGAGCACGUGAAAUUCCGUCGGAAUCUAGGAGGACCAUCUCCUAAGGCUAAAUACUCUCUAGUGACCGAUAGUGAACCAGUACCGUGAGGGAAAGGUGAAAAGUACCCCGGAAGGGGAGUGAAAGAGAACUUGAAACCGUGUGCUUACAAGUAGUCAGAGCCCGUUUAUGGGUGAUGGCGUGCCUUUUGUAGAAUGAACCGGCGAGUUACGAUCUGAUGCAAGGUUAAGCAGCGAAUGUGGAGCCGUAGCGAAAGCGAGUCUGAAUAGGGCGUUGAGUAUUUGGUCGUAGACCCGAAACCAGGUGAUCUACCCUUGGUCAGGUUGAAGUUCAGGUAACACUGAAUGGAGGACCGAACCGACUUACGUUGAAAAGUGAGCGGAUGAACUGAGGGUAGCGGAGAAAUUCCAAUCGAACUUGGAGAUAGCUGGUUCUCUCCGAAAUAGCUUUAGGGCUAGCCUCAAGUGAUGAUUAUUGGAGGUAGAGCACUGUUUGGACGAGGGGCCCCUCUCGGGUUACCGAAUUCAGACAAACUCCGAAUGCCAAUCAAUUUAACUUGGGAGUCAGAACAUGGGUGAUAAGGUCCGUGUUCGAAAGGGAAACAGCCCAGACCACCAGCUAAGGUCCCAAAAUAUAUGUUAAGUGGAAAAGGAUGUGGCGUUGCCCAGACAACUAGGAUGUUGGCUUAGAAGCAGCCAUCAUUUAAAGAGUGCGUAAUAGCUCACUAGUCGAGUGACACUGCGCCGAAAAUGUACCGGGGCUAAACAUAUUACCGAAGCUGUGGAUUGUCCUUCGGACAAUGGUAGGAGAGCGUUCUAAGGGCGUUGAAGCAUGAUCGCAAGGACAUGUGGAGCGCUUAGAAGUGAGAAUGCCGGUGUGAGUAGCGAAAGACGGGUGAGAAUCCCGUCCACCGAUUGACUAAGGUUUCCAGAGGAAGGCUCGUCCGCUCUGGGUUAGUCGGGUCCUAAGCUGAGGCCGACAGGCGUAGGCGAUGGAUAACAGGUUGAUAUUCCUGUACCACCUAGUAUCGUUUUAAUCGAUGGGGGGACGCAGUAGGAUAGGCGAAGCGUGCUGUUGGAGUGCACGUCCAAGCAGUAAGGCUGAGUGUUAGGCAAAUCCGGCACUCGUUAGGCUGAGCUGUGAUGGGGAGAGGAAAUUGUUUCCUCGAGUCGUUGAUUUCACACUGCCGAGAAAAGCCUCUAGAUAGAUAACAGGUGCCCGUACCGCAAACCGACACAGGUAGUCAAGAUGAGAAUUCUAAGGUGAGCGAGCGAACUCUCGUUAAGGAACUCGGCAAAAUGACCCCGUAACUUCGGGAGAAGGGGUGCUCUUUAGGGUUCACGCCCAGAAGAGCCGCAGUGAAUAGGCCCAAGCGACUGUUUAUCAAAAACACAGGUCUCUGCUAAACCGUAAGGUGAUGUAUAGGGGCUGACGCCUGCCCGGUGCUGGAAGGUUAAGAGGAGUGGUUAGCUUCUGCGAAGCCACGAAUCGAAGCCCCAGUAAACGGCGGCCGUAACUAUAACGGUCCUAAGGUAGCGAAAUUCCUUGUCGGGUAAGUUCCGACCCGCACGAAAGGCGUAACGAUUUGGGCACUGUCUCAACGAGAGACUCGGUGAAAUCAUAGUACCUGUGAAGAUGCAGGUUACCCGCGACAGGACGGAAAGACCCCGUGGAGCUUUACUGUAGCCUGAUAUUGAAAUUCGGCACAGCUUGUACAGGAUAGGUAGGAGCCAUUGAAACGUGAGCGCUAGCUUACGUGGAGGCGUUGGUGGGAUACUACCCUAGCUGUGUUGGCUUUCUAACCCGCACCACUUAUCGUGGUGGGAGACAGUGUCAGGCGGGCAGUUUGACUGGGGCGGUCGCCUCCUAAAAGGUAACGGAGGCGCUCAAAGGUUCCCUCAGAAUGGUUGGAAAUCAUUCACAGAGUGUAAAGGCAUAAGGGAGCUUGACUGCGAGACCUACAAGUCGAGCAGGGUCGAAAGACGGACUUAGUGAUCCGGUGGUUCCGCAUGGAAGGGCCAUCGCUCAACGGAUAAAAGCUACCCCGGGGAUAACAGGCUUAUCUCCCCCAAGAGUUCACAUCGACGGGGAGGUUUGGCACCUCGAUGUCGGCUCAUCGCAUCCUGGGGCUGUAGUCGGUCCCAAGGGUUGGGCUGUUCGCCCAUUAAAGCGGUACGCGAGCUGGGUUCAGAACGUCGUGAGACAGUUCGGUCCCUAUCCGUCGUGGGCGUAGGAAAUUUGAGAGGAGCUGUCCUUAGUACGAGAGGACCGGGAUGGACAUACCUCUGGUGUACCAGUUGUCGUGCCAACGGCAUAGCUGGGUAGCUAUGUAUGGACGGGAUAAGUGCUGAAAGCAUCUAAGCAUGAAGCCCCCCUCAAGAUGAGAUUUCCCAACUUCGGUUAUAAGAUCCCUCGAAGAUGACGAGGUUAAUAGGUUCGAGGUGGAAGCGUGGUGACACGUGGAGCUGACGAAUACUAAUCGAUCGAAGACUUAAUCAAU
rnacentral:rRNA from 3 species